rnacentral:rRNA from 1 species
AUUGAACGCUGGCGGCAGGCCUAACACAUGCAAGUCGAAUGGUAACAGGAAACAGCUUGCUGUUUCGCUGACGAGUGGCGGACGGGUGAGUAAUGUCUGGGAAACUGCCUGAUGGAGGGGGAUAACUACUGGAAACGGUAGCUAAUACCGCAUAACGUCGCAAGACCAAAGAGGGGGACCUUCGGGCCUCUUGCCAUCAGAUGUGCCCAGAUGGGAUUAGCUAGUAGGUGGGGUAACGGCUCACCUAGGCGACGAUCCCUAGCUGGUCUGAGAGGAUGACCAGCCACACUGGAACUGAGACACGGUCCAGACUCCUACGGGAGGCAGCAGUGGGGAAUAUUGCACAAUGGGCGCAGGCCUGAUGCAGCCAUGCCGCGUGUAUGAAGAAGGCCUUCGGGUUGUAAAGUACCUUCAGCGGGGAGGAAGGGAGUAAAGUUAAUACCUUUGCUCAUUGACGUUACCCGCAGAAGAAGCACCGGCUAACUCCGUG